rnacentral:rRNA from 2 species
CCUAGUGGUGAUAGCGGAGGGGAAACACCCGUUCCCAUCCCGAACACGGAAGUUAAGCCCUCCAGCGCCGAUGGUAGUUGGGGCCAGCGCCCCUGCAAGAGUAGGUCGUUGCUAGGC